rnacentral:rRNA from 1 species
ACUCCUACGGGAGGCAGCAGUGGGGAAUAUUGGACAAUGGGGGAAACCCUGAUCCAGCCAUGCCGCGUGUGUGAAGAAGGCCUUCGGGUUGUAAAGCACUUUCAGUGGGGAGGAAAAGGUUGUUGGUUAAUACCUAACAGCUGUGACGUUACCCACAGAAGAAGCACCGGCUAACUCCGUGCCAGCAGCCGCGGUAAUACGGAGGGUGCGAGCGUUAAUCGGAAUUACUGGGCGUAAAGCGCGUGUAGGUGGCUUGUUAAGCCAGAUGUGAAAGCCCCGGGCUCAACCUGGGAACUGCAUUUGGAACUGGCAGGCUAGAGUUUUGUAGAGGGUGGUAGAAUUUCAGGUGUAGCGGUGAAAUGCGUAGAGAUCUGAAGGAAUACCGGUGGCGAAGGCGACCACCUGGCCAAUAACUGACACUGAGACGCGAAGGCGUGGGUAGCAAACGGGAUUAGAUCCCCUGGUAGGCUCUGCU